CAAUUUGUGUCGUCAUAAAAUGGCGGGAGGAAUGUAACUUCUCCGGAAGUGUUAUGGCCUCUGGUAGAUGUGACAACUGAGAUUGAGGAUUGCAACGAAUACCCUCUGGGCUACUUGUCUGGCCUCUGGUCGUCGCUUUGGUGCCGAAAGCGUGCUUAUGGUAUUAAAGUAGGUGGUCAAAAGGUUAGAACGGGUUAAAUUCGUUAAGGAUGUUGACGUAAUGACUUUAAACGACCCGUCUUGAAACACGG
rnacentral:rRNA from 1 species